CUUUGUUUUGCAGAGCUGAGAUUUCUUUACAUCACAGUGGUUCAAGGAGAAAAACACAGCCAGAUCCUUCCUCAUCUCAACAUAAAUUAAACCCAGAGGCAGUCAGCGCCACAGUCCACACUCGUAACCGUUACACUCACCUGGAAAUAAAAGUAUUUUUGUGCGGGGACUGCAAGGACUAAGCCCGGCCGCACUCCGAGUUUCUCCUCCUCACAGUGACUCAUUGCUCAGGUGAGGAAACUGAGGCUCAGAGAGGGUCCGUGGCAUGUCCAAGGUUACUCUGCUGAGGCAAGGAACUAUGUGAGCCACUCCAGUGUUCCCAGCCCCAAGGCCAGGCACAGUGGACAUUUAUUGCUGAAUGAAUGAAUCAAGAGAGAGGAUCAGAAAGCUGCAGAGGAUGAUAGAUCUGCAAAAUUCUCCCUGGGUGAGGCCCAGGCUCAGCUUCCAGAACAGCUCCAUCUGUCUCCCACUCACUGAGAUUGAAC
rnacentral:lncRNA from 1 species